rnacentral:lncRNA from 1 species
GGAUUCCAAUAGACCUUCCUGGCCACCUCGAGAAAGAUACUAUGAGAAAAUAAAUGCUGGUGCUUUUCUAAGCCAGCUUCGGAAAUGGUGUACCUGUUACUCUGUACUGCGACUCUCAUUUUGGAUGUCUCUGUCUGUCCUUACAGAACAGAAUUCUCCUGAGAGCUUUCCAUGGAGACUUCUCAUGGGAGGAGAUGCUUGGGGGUCCCAGUUGUUGCAGUCACGGCGAUUUCAAUAUCCACAAUAUUGUCACUAUACACUGCGUUGACAACGCCUUGGUGACAUCCUCGGUCCCAGCUGCUGCUGACUGACAGACCUAGAGAGGCCCAUCUACUGGGGUUCGGGCUUCCUCCUGCCAUGAUGGCUUGUCCCAGUUCCAGAAGCACAGACACCUGACCAGCAACUGAAACCUUUGAGACAACCGGGAGCCACACAAUGGAAAGCUCGGCUUCUAAAUCAGACCUCCAAGUCCUGAUAUCCACUCCUGCCUCAUGCACUGAAAGGAAAUAAAACUGUGAUUCAUGUAAUGUAUGUCAAAUAGCCCAAAGAGUUGUUUGUGAGCUUUGAAACCUGGGGCUGAGAACAUAGCAGAACAGACCAGGACAUGCCCGGGCAGGCCCAUCGUCUCCCUAUCUCCCACCCCUCUGACCUAAGUUAAAUGUUACAGGCUGCUGAUGUUUAAAUGGACCAAUCAUGUGAAACCACGCCAAUUCCUCCCCCAGCCCCACUCCUUUUCUAUAAAAACCCCUAGCUUCCAAGCCUCGUGGUCGAAUCCACUGUCUCCUGUGUGAGAUACGUUUCGACCCUGAGCUCCGCCAUUAAAAUACCCCGUGUUGUUACAUCAA